GUGAGUCAUCGAAUCUUUGAACGCACAUUGCGCCCCGUGGUAUUCCGCGGGGCAUGCCUGUUCGAGCGUCAUUUCAACCCAUCAAGCUUCUGCUUGGUCUUGGGGCCUGCGGUUUCGCAGCCUCUAAACUCAGUGGCGGUGCUAUUGAGCUCUGAGCGUAGUAAUUCUUCUCGCUAUAGGGUCUUCGUAGUUACUUGCCAGUAACCCCCAAUUUUUAUCAGGUUGACCUCGGAUCAGGUAGGGAUACCCGCUGAACUUAAGCAUAUCAAUAAGCGGAGGA
rnacentral:misc_RNA from 1 species